rnacentral:misc_RNA from 1 species
GAUGAAGAACGCAGCGAAAUGCGAUAAGUAAUGUGAAUUGCAGAAUUCAGUGAAUCAUCGAAUCUUUGAACGCACAUGCGCCCGUCAGUAUUCUGGCGGGCAUGCCUGUUCGAGCGUCAUUACGCCCCUCAAGUCCCCUGUGGACUUGGUGUUGGGGAUCGGCGAGGCUGGUUUUCCAGCACAGCCGUCCCUUAAAUUAAUUGGCGGUCUCGCCGUGGCCCUCCUCUGCGCAGUAGUAAAACACUCGCAACAGGAGCCCGGCGCGGUCCACUGCCGUAAAACCCCCCAACUUUUUAUAGUUGACCUCGAAUCAGGUAGGACUACCCGCUGAACUUAAGCAUAUCAAUAAGCGGAGGA